CAGCAUGUCAUCUGCUGAGAUGUUACUGCAUACAAGUGAAAUGGCUAAACAUCAGCUCACCUGAACAGCUGGAAAAAACUUCCUGGCUUUUCCCCACUGACAGAUUUCCAUCCAGUAACACCCAUGUCUCCCAUGUUAGAAAUCAAGGCCAGCUACUCUAAUGGAGCUCCUUAAGGAGAGUUAAAGUACUGUUCUUUUGAAAAGCCAUGCUAGAAGAGUCUUUUCAGUUAAAAUCUGCUCUGUGUUUCUCAAAAGGUUCCCAGCCCCAGGCAGAGAUCUGCCACUUAGCAUGUAAGAGUCCUCAAAAACCCCAUGGAUCCAUGCUCUUCCUACCAGCCCAGAACAAACAAGUUAAAAGAGGACUGUUCUGAUCCAAGCUCUAAACAGCUGAGCUGGGAUACACUCAGGACCGUUGCUGUCACAUGGAAAUAAUGCGUCAAGGCAUGAAAGACAAGAAAAAAAAAAAAUAAGAGAAAAAUACCCCAACAUGUGCCACUUACUGACUAAUAAGGAGGAGAUCAAUCUCAGCUGGAUCUAUCAAAUCAAUGUAAGGAAGAGCAUCCAUUCCUUCCAGCCCAGGAUGGAUUCCACAAUCAAGCUGAAAAAUGAAACAAAGUUAAAGCUUCCAGCAGAAGAAUGAUACAUGACCUUCCUACUUCUUGGCCAGCACCUCUGCAAAGGGAUAUGAAAGUCAUGAGGACUGGAACAACGCACACCGCACAGAUGUAACUACACUGGAUGCCUUUACCGCGGUUAUUUUUCUGUGCAGAGAUAACAACUGCACGGCCCUUCUAAGCCCAGCCAUCCAAAGUACCUGAGCAGCUGGAUUUAUCCCAAAGGA